rnacentral:rRNA from 1 species
AUUGAACGCUGGCGGCAGGCCUAACACAUGCAAGUCGAGCGGAGCGGCGGACGGGUGAGUAAUGCCUAGGAAUCUGCCUGGUAGUGGGGGAUAACGUCCGGCAACGGGCGCUAAUACCGAAUACUAUCAGAUGAGCCUAGGUCGGAUUAGCUAGUUGGUGGGGUAAUGGGCUACCAAGGCGACGAUCCGGAACUGGUCUGAGAGGAUGAUCCGUCACACUGGAACUGAGACCCGGUCCAGACUCCUACGGGUGGCAGCAGUGGGGAAUAUUGGACAAUGGGCGAAAUCCUGAUCCAGCCAUGCCGCGUGGGUGAAGAAGGUCUUCUGAUUGUAAAGCGCUUUAAGUUUGGAGGCGUUACCAACAGAAUAAGCACCGGCUAACUUCGUGCCAGCAGCCGCGGUAAUUC